rnacentral:lncRNA from 1 species
UGUCUGAAAGAGGCAGUCAGGGCUUGGCGCCUUGUCAAUCACAGCCUCAGAAAGGGCUGUAUAUGAGGGAAAGGAGAGGCUACUAUGUUGCCAAAAGACACUGGGCUGGGUUUUCAUGUAUGUGUGUGGGGGCUGAGGGGUCCAGAAUGGAUGACCAUAGGAACUAAGAGUCAGUUCUUGUCCUACUGAGGUAAGUAGAUUUUCCGUCCGGACAGAGCCUCAAGUACAGUUUUGAAAGCAAUCCCAUCUUCAGGCUGGGUGGAAGACUGGUCAUCUGUUCCUUCCCCUGAGUCCAGUUCUUUGGGUCAUCGCAGUUAGGUGUCAGUGGAUCUCAGUGAGGUGUCAGUGGAAACUUCUGCAGACUCCACAACCUGAGGGACCUGGGAGAGAAGCAGCCAGUGGCCCGUGGAUCAAAAUAUAGGACAAGAGGAACUGCGUUUCUGUAUCCCUGGAGACAGUUGUGGUGGCAGCUGUUUCUGGCUGUUCAGUCUCUUUUCCUCUCCAGCCAGCACAGCAGUGUAGGCCCUUCCCCGGCCUGCUGGGGUAAACCUGAGUCUGUACUUCCUCUUCCCUGCUGACUAAAUGUGC